rnacentral:lncRNA from 1 species
AAGCAAUACGUACUGCCUAUACAGAAAUGUGUAGAAGUGCAUACAUAAUGUUUACAGUUAUUUUAAAAUAUAUAUAUAACUGAAUGAUAAAUAUGUUUUAAGUCACAUAGCCUGUACCACAUUUUUCUCUAUUAAAAAUGACAAUCAUUCACUUGUCUACAAUUAAUAUAUCUUAGUAAGACUAUGACGGAAAAAAACAUUAAAAGACAAUACAUACAUUAUUAUUAUUAUUAUUAUUAUUAUUAUUAUUAUAGUCUUGCUCUGUUGUCAGGCUGGAGUAAGGUCUUGUGAUCUCGGCUCACUGCAACCUCCGCCUCCCAGGUUCAAGCAAUUCUUCUGCCUCAGCCUCCCAAGUAGCUGGGAUUACAGGCAUGCGCUGUGACACCCAGCUAACUUUUGUAUUUUUAGUAGAGAUGGGGUUUCACCAUGUUGGCCAGGAUGGUCGUGAUCUGCCUGCCUCAGCCUCCCAAAGUGCUGGGAUUACAGGUGUGAGCCAC